rnacentral:rRNA from 1 species
GUCCACGCCCUAAACGAUGGAUGUUAGUUUCUUGAAGUGUCGACCCUUCAGGUGACGUAGCUAACGCAUUAAACAUCCCGCCUGGGUAGUACGGCCGCAAGGUUGAAACUCAAAAGAAUAGACCGGAGCUCGCACAAGCGGUGGAGCAUGAGGUUUAAUUCGACGGCACGCGAUGAACCUUACCAAGGCUUGAAACGUUAACGAAAGCUUUUCGAAAGAUAAGCCCUCCGCAAGGACGUUAGCACAGGUGCUGCAUGGUCGUCGU